ACAAAUAAAGAAAUAAACAGUACAAAAUUAUUACACAUCAGGGGAGUGGGGUACAUUUUGUCAAAUGGGGAUUCAAAAUCAUGAAACAAUUAAAUCGGCCCCAAACAACAAAUAAUGCAAAGUAUGAGUGUAAGUGCAAGAGGACCGACUCAUUGUAAGAAAGCCCAAGAGUAAGCUAUGUGAGGUUGACGGUGAUGCUUAAAAGCAAUCGACUUACAAGGGUAUGAAAAUGGGCUCGACAUUGAAUCGAGAAAUAUGAUUUUAAUAGUUUUAAAAUGGUUUUGAAUGAAUGAUGAAAUUAAUAAAAAAACAAAUUUGUGUUAUUAAAUAAUAAUGAAACCAUCAGUAUAAUAAA
rnacentral:lncRNA from 1 species